CCGAAGCAUGCACUGCAUGGCUCCCCUGGCUCCAGCAGCUGCGGCAGCUGGAUCCAGCGCCUUCCAGCAGCCAGUGCCAAGGGCUUUCCCCAGGGUCACCAGGGGCUUGUACAGGCCAGACAAAGAGUGCUUGUCGCCCGAGGGCACAGCCGGAGCCGCUCGGAGCCAGGGAGCCCACAGCCCCCACAAACCAGUCGUCGCCAACAUGCUUCCCCGGCUGCGGCGAGCAGAUGGCCACAGCAGGGCCCCCGGCUACCAAGGGCCUGCUCCGGGAAGAUGACCGGAGGCUGUGCUCCACGUGCCAACAGAAAUGCCCAGCCUCCGGGGCGGGGAGCCUGCCAGGACACCCCAGCACAGCCUCCCAGUACCUCCUUGGACAUGAGCCUUUCACUGCUCCCAAAGAGAGGGGGGAACGAGGCCAUAGCAGCGGCCCCCUCCACUCCUUUGGGAUGCCAUCCAAAACCAGCUGGACCCCGACACGUCUGCUCCCGCAAUGCCAGGGGAGGAACACCGGGUGUGGGAGAGAGGCCGGAGGCUGUCACAGGUCAGGAUGGUGCAGCUGUGCAGGGGCAGCUGCAAAGCAUGCAUUUCUCCCAGCCCCUGAGCACGGCCACGGGCAGGCAGCCUUGCCCGGGCAGAUCCAGGUGGACCACGCCGGCACAGAGCUGGACCACGACUCGCAGCACCGCUGCACCACUAACCGGCUUCUCCAGGCCGCAGGCAUCCUGUUCUCCCUCCUUUGCAAGCCCCAGCUGCUAGGUUUCAAUAUUAACCACCCCCAAUUCAGCCAUGGCUGGAAAGAGCAUUCAGGAGCUCCUGGAGCCCAGGCCAGCAUUCAGACCAGUGCCCGGAUGGGCCCAAGGCAGCCUCCUAGCCUCAAGCUGUCAUCUAGUGCUAACCACACACCAAUGCACACAUCUCCCAGCUGUGCCCAACACGCCCUGGGCUGCCAUGGCAUCUGGAGCUGGUUUGCAAGCAGUGACCACCCCUGAGGGCAGCCAGUUCUGC
rnacentral:lncRNA from 1 species